rnacentral:tRNA from 1 species
GGCUCUGUAGCUCAGGGGUAGAGCAGGGGAAUCAUAAUCCCUGUGUCCGGUGUUCAAAUCACCGCAGAGCCACCA